AUGAGUUUGCCUAUUACGCUUCAUCUUUUUAAUAUCUUUCGUGAGAAUGAUGGAAAGGAAAAUUGUGCUCAAGUGCUAGAAGAAGAAUGCAUUAAAAUGUUUGGUACUAGAUCUUUGUAUGAUGAGCAUGAUUGCAAUGUUGUUAGUAUGAAUUCCUUGAAUAUCCAUGAUGCUAAUGAUAUGCAAAGCCACAAGCUUGGGGAAGCUAUGUUUGAUGAAGAUGAUAUUUUUUGUCCCCCAAGUUUUGAUGAGCAAAUUUAUUAUGAUGAAAGCAUGCCUCAUAUUUAUGAUGAUUAUAUUGAUGAAAGUGGGUUUGGAAGAGUGCCAACUUUAGGAAAUAGUGAUCCCACUAUUUUGGAGGAUGUUGAAUCUUAUUGUGAUGAACAUGAAAGUGGAUUUGGAAGAGUGUCAACUUUAUUUAGUGAUGAUUCCACUAUUUCGGAAGAGGUUCCAAUUAAUUAUGAGAACAAAGUUUCUAUCUAUGAUGAUUACCAUGAUGAAUUGUAUGCUAUUAGGAAUAAUGAUAACCAUGAAACUUGUCAUCAUGAUUUUAGUUUUCAAUUGGAUUGUGCCCCACAUGAUAAUUAUUUUGUUGAGUUUGCUCCCACUACUAUUCAUGAGAAGAAUUUUGCUUAUGUGGAGAGUAGUAAAUUUUCUAUGCUUGUAGAUCAUGAAAAGAAUGCUUUAGGUGCUGGUUAUAUUGUUGAAUUCAUUCAUGAUGCUACUGAAAACUAUUAUGAGGAAGGAACAUAUGCUUGUAGGAAUUGCAAUAAUAUCAAGUUUCCUCUCUAUGUGCUUAAAGUUUUGAAGUUAUGCUUGUUUUGCCCUCCUAUGCUAGUUGAUUAUUGCUCCCAUAAGUUGUUUUCUCACAAAAUCCCUAUGCAUAGAAAGUGGGUUAGACUUAAAUGUGCUAGUCAUAUUCUUCAUGAUGCUCUCUUUAUGUUUCAAUUCUUAUCUUUUAUGUGA
rnacentral:rRNA from 1 species